rnacentral:lncRNA from 1 species
GUGCCUUUGGUUCUUGAUAUGAAUUCCUUUUCGUGGUGACAGUCUGCUUUGACCCUCUCGGUCAACAAAGACCUGUCCGGGAGUUGGUUAGAAACUGGAGCUUAUGAGGACUUAGAAGAGACAGUGGCCAGUGUGAGCAGAUAGCGUCUUACAGGGAAAACACCCUUCCCUUGGUUGAGACAGCUUGAGACACUACACUUUGGAUAGUUUGUGAUCUGCAUAGAGGCACAUCCUGGAAAGCUGCCUGCGAGCCAGUACUUCCUAGAAAAACCUGCAAAUCUACCAUACUGUUCUUAGGGUUCCCCUGCUGCGAUGCCAGGCCUUAUUGCUCCUGA